rnacentral:lncRNA from 1 species
AUCUCUGAUGGCCCUGCAGUUUGUUUUAGGGGGAUCAGAUCAGAUCAAGUCACUGACACAUCAAUGAAAAAAAUAAUAAAACACUUCACUGUUGUUCAUCUCCUUUUCAUUUAGGAAGACAAAAAAGGGAAGCAAGUUUGAUUCAAUCUUUCUUUAAAGCUUUCCUGUCAUCUCAGGAGUGAGCUUCAGAUGUCAUGGGGGGAGAAACUGAUCAACCCAAAUAAACAUUUAUCUUCCCAGCAUGUCAUACCAUUUCAUUUCACGCUCUACUAA